rnacentral:lncRNA from 1 species
CCUAGCUCCCACAAUCAUCCUCCAUGGAGAGAGAGAGAGCGAGUUCUAGACAAAGAAAGUGGGAAGUACAAAGGCAUGGAAGCGAUGGAAGUCCUCUGUGAUUGGAGAAUUAAAGUCACCCAAACUGGCUGGAGCAAAUACAGGAGAGAAACAGAAGAGAGGCCAAAGAGAGUUAAGGACCAUCAUGAAGAAGGAUGGAUAAGUACUUAGCAAGCAGGCAGCGGACAGGCUCCCUUCAGAUCUGGAAUACCUUUCCUGCUCUACCAUGGUGUUUCAAUGAGGCAAAAGUAGGUACUUUGGGGCCCUAUCUCAUCAUAGUUCUUUGAUGCACUUUGGAAACUGUGGAGGAAGGUUGUGCUUUAUUCUCAUCACAAAUAUUUUCCAGUUUUAGUCUUGAAGGGCCAACUGCUGACUCCAUUUAGCUUUCACUGUUAGCAGAAACCUUACAAUCAAAGCUUUCUUGUCAUGUCUGACUGUGACCAAGGUUUGAUAAGAUGAACUUUGUUUCAUUAAGAAUAAAGCAGGAACUAAAACCUGUGGGGAGCUGACUAGGGCCUUUCUAUUAGUUCUGAUCAAAGGGCCUCUCGGGUACAAUGAUUACACCUUUCUAAAAGUAGUAUGUGAAGUUGGGUAUUUUCAUACUUAUACUUUUUGUGCACUGUGUAUUUAUUUAAAAGCUUGUCCUAUUAAUGUAAGAAACACAAACAAAAACAUCAGGAAGUAGACUUAAAGAAGAAAGAACAGAAAUAAUGAAAAUUUGGACCCAGAAACACCUGGCUCCAAGUCUGUUUGCCAUUUGUUGGCUGUGGAACAUAGGUAGGCUGAUGAUGGCUACGAUUCUUAACGUCUCUGUUAAUUCAUGAGACUAAAGCAAAAUAAGGUGAGGGUUAAAUAGAGUCCAUGUGCAGGGGCACCUGGGUGGCUCAGUGGGUUAAAGCCUCUGCUUUCG